AUUGAACGCUGGCGGCAGGCCUAACACAUGCAAGUCGAGCGGAUGAAGGGAGCUUGCUCCUGGAUUCAGCGGCGGACGGGUGAGUAAUGCCUAGGAAUCUGCCUGGUAGUGGGGGAUAACGUCCGGAAACGGGCGCUAAUACCGCAUACGUCCUGAGGGAGAAAGUGGGGGAUCUUCGGACCUCACGCUAUCAGAUGAGCCUAGGUCGGAUUAGCUAGGUGGUGGGGUAAAGGCCUACCAAGGCGACGAUCCGUAACUGGUCUGAGAGGAUGAUCAGUCACACUGGGACUGUGACCCGGUACAGACGCCUACGGGAGGCAGCUGGGGGGAAUAUUGGAGAAUGGGCGGAAGCCUGAUCCAGCCAUGCCGCGUGUGUGAAGAAGGUCUUCGGAUUGUAGAGCACUUUAAGUUGGGAGGAAGGGCAGUAAGUUAAUACCUUGCUGUUUUGACGGGACCUACAGAAUAAGCACCGGCUAACUUCGUG
rnacentral:rRNA from 1 species